GGAGAGAUGGCUGAGCGGACUAAAGCGGCGGAUGCUAAUCCGUAGUACGGAUAAU
rnacentral:tRNA from 1 species